AGCGAACGCUGGCGGCAGGCCUAAAACAUGCAAGUCGAACGCCGUAGCAAUACGGAGUGGCAGACGGGUGAGUAACACGUGGGAACAUACCCUUUGGUUCGGAACAACACAGGGAAACUUGUGCUAAUACCGGAUAAGCCCUUACGGGGAAAGAUUUAUCGCCAAAGGAUUGGCCCGCGUCUGAUUAGCUAGUUGGUGGGGUAACGGCCCACCAAGGCUACGAUCAGUAGCUGGUCUGAGAGGANGAUCAGCCACACUGGGACUGAGACACGGCCCAGACUCCUACGGGAGGCAGCAGUUAGGAAUCUUGGACAAUGGGCGCAAGCCUGAUCCAGCCAUGCCGCGUGAGUGAUGAAGGCCUUAGGGUUGUAAAGCUCUUUCAGCGGGGAAGAUAAUGACGGUACCCGCAGAAGAAGCCCCGG
rnacentral:rRNA from 1 species